GGCCCUAUAGCUCAGCGGUAGAGCGUCGGCUUCCAGUGUACUUUGCUAUUUGCAAAAACUCGAAAUUCCGAAGGUCAUCCGUUCAAAUCGGGUUGGGGUCA
rnacentral:tRNA from 1 species